AGAGCUGCUGGAGCGCGCAGCCUUAUCUUGCGUUUCCGCCGAAGUUGUGCUGAGUGGUCCCGCACCUUCUGGCACUGUCCCGUGUGAGCGCGCCGCCACCGUCCUGGUUUCCGAGUGAGUCACGGCCAGGCGAAGCUGCGCUGUGCUGCAUUCAACCUGCUCUCGACAAGAGGAGAAACUGAGGCCCCGAGGGGCGUGGAGAGCCGACCGGAGGUCUUGUGACUCUGUGGCUUUUGGAGACAGAUGACAACUAACUCUUGAAGGGCCUUUGGGGCUCUGCACCAGCCAGCACCCCUUCCCUCCUCCGGUCCUCGGUCCUCGAUCUCACUGCCUGAUGGACCCACACUGCCUCUGUCCGGAGGGGGAGGCCGUCUCCUAGAGGAGGCAGCCUGAUGCAGAGGGGCCCUUGAGAGGUAUCCCCAUCCUGCAGGAAGCAGCUGGACCACGAUGCUCCCAAGGUGAGGUCUGUCCUCUGGAGACCUGGGGCUUUGCAUGCCACAAGAUAAGUCCACUGUGUGCAGAGGCCUCAUGGGAAUUGUCAUGUCAGAAACAUUCUGGACCCCAGUGUCCUCGAGGGGCGCUGCCUUGGACCUGGAGACUGUGGCAGGAAGCGCCAAGGGGGUGGAGGCAUUGACCCUCAAGGUGGUGACCUGGGUGGCAGCUUCCCUGGAGGGGGGCCUCCCCAUGAUUAGUUUGGGGAUUGAUCACGGACAUUGGAGUGAAGAGUGGCAUUGCCACCUGAUGCAUUGCUGGACCUUCUCACCCCAUCAUCAAAGGGCUUGACAUCAAAGGACUUUUUGCUCUGAGGGAGCGGGGCAGCAGGAGAGCCCGGACUCCAGGGACCCUGGGAGAGUGUUCAGCAUCAGAGACCCUCCCAGGCUCCGCCCCUCUGCAGCAGGUGCUGGGAACAUUCAUGGUGGACCAGGAUGGUGGCUUUCCUUCCGUCUGGGCCAGGCCACCCGUGUUCUGUGUCCCCCUGCCUACUGCUCAUGUAACUUUUUAGAACCAAGAGUUCCUUUUGACGUUUUCUGUGCUGUGCAUCAUUGUCCUCUCACCUAUCUCAAUAAACCAUGAAAUGGC